rnacentral:misc_RNA from 1 species
GCAAACUUGGUCAUUUAGAGGAAGUAAAAGUCGUAACAAGGUUUCCGUAGGUAUGUUGACACCCGCUAUCUCCUCAUUCAUGGAAACCAUCGCUAACGUCGCGUCCAGGUGAACCUGCGGAAGGAUCAUUACAGUGUUAGGCUUCGGCCUCAUUCACACCCCUUGUUGAACCUCUGGUUUCUUUGGCGAUGUCAUGGACUCGUCAAACUUUAACUCUGGGAAUGCGAUACUGUCCGAGUGCCAUUGAAUGAUUUAAAACUUUCAACAACGGAUCUCUUGGUUCCAGCAUCGAUGAAGAACGCAGC